rnacentral:misc_RNA from 1 species
AAGUCGUAACAAGGUUUCCGUAGGUGAACCUGCGGAAGGAUCAUUAUCACAAAUGAUUUUAACUCUCUUAAUCCAGAGUUAACCUCUUCUUAAACCAAUCUAACAAAAUGUGAAAUCGUUUUAUAUGUAUAUAUAUUUUUAUAUUCUCGCAAGAGAAUAUAUAUAUAUGUAUAUAUAUUAUUAACCAAUUGAACCUUUUUCUAUAUUGUUAUUUAAAUUAAAUUUAGUACUGAGCUAUAUAUAUUGUUAUUCAAUAACAAUAUUAUAAUACAUUACGAAACAAUUUAAAUAAAACAACUCUUAGCAACGGAUAUCUUGGUUCUC